AUUGUAUGUGUAGGUAUAUUACAGGCUGAUCUAGCAAGGGAUUGUAUGUGUAGGUAUAUGACAGGCUGAUCUAGCAAGGGAUUGUAUGUGUAGGUAUAUGACAGGCUGAUCUAGCAAGUGAUUGUAUGUGUAGGUAUAUUACAGGCUGAUCUAGUAAGUAAUUUGUAUCUGUAGGUAUAUUACAGGCUGAUCUAGCAAGGGAUUGUAUGUGUAGGUAUAUUACAGGCUGAUCUAGCAAGGGAUUGUAUGUGUAGGUAUAUUACAGGCUGAUCUAGUAAGUAAUUUAUAUCUGUAGGUAUAUUACAGGCUGAUCUAGCAAGGGAUUGUAUAUGUAGGUAUAUUACAGGCUGAUCUAGUAAGGGAUUGUAUGUGUAGGUAUAUUACAGGCUGAUCUAGUUAGUAAUUUGUAUCUGUAGGUAUAUGACAGUCUGAUCUAGCAAGUGAUUGUAUGUGUAGGUAUAUUACAGACUGAUCUAGUAAGUAAUUUGUUUCUGUAGGUAUAUGGCAGGCUGAUCUGGCAAGGGAUUGUAUGUGUAGGUAUAUUACAGGCUGAUCUAGCAAGUGAUUGUAUGUGUAGGUAUAUGACAGGCUGUUCUAUCAAACGAUUGUAUGUGUAGGUAUAUAACAGGCGUAUCUAGCAAGAGAUUGUAUGUGUAGGUAUAUUACAGGCUGAUCUAGCAAGGGAUUGUUUGUGUAGGUAUAUUACAGGCUGAUCUUGUAAGUAAUUUGUAUCUGUAGGUAUAUGGCAGGCUGAUCUAGCAAGGGAUUGUAUCUGUAGAUAUAUUACAGGCUGAUCUAGCAAGGGAUUGUAUGUGUUGGUAUAUUACAGGUUGAUCUAGCAAGGGAGUGUAUGUGUAGGUUUAUUACAGGCUGAUCUAGUAAGUAAUUUGUAUCUGUAGGUAUAUGACAGGCUGAUCUAGCAAGGGAUUGUAUCUGUAGAUAUAUUACAGGCUGAUCUAGCAAGGGAUUGUUUGUGUAGGUAUAUAACAGGCUUAUCUAGUAAGUAAUUUGUAUCUGUAGGUAUAUUACAGGAUGAUCUAGCAAGGGAUUGUUUGUGUAGGUAUAUUACAGGCUGAUCUAGCGAGGGAUUGUAUGUGUAGGUAUAUGACAGGCUGUUCUAGCAAUAAAUUGUAUCUGUAGGUAUAUGACAGGCUGAUCUAGCAAGUGAUUGUAUGUGUAGGUAUAUUACAGGCUGAUCUAGUUAGUAAUUUGUAUCUGUAGGUAUAUGACAGGCUGAUCUAGCAAGUGAUUGUAUGUGUAGGUAUAUUACAGACUGAUCUAGUAAGUAAUUUGUUUCUGUAGGUAUAUAACAAGCUGAUCCAGCAAGGGAUUGUAUGUGUAGGUAUAUAACAGGCUGAUCCAGCAAGGGAUUGUAUGUGUAGGUAUAUAACCGGCUGAUCUAGCAAGGGAUUUUAUGUGUAGGUAUAUAACAGGCUGAUCCAGCAAGGGAUUGUAUGUGUAGGUAUAUAACAGGUUAUCUAGCAAGGGAUUGUAUGUGUAGGUAUAUAACAGGCUUAUCUAGCAAGGGAUUGCAUGUGUAGGUAUAUUACAGGCUGAUCUAGCAAGUGAUUGCAUUUGGGUUCAAGGUCACUGUUACAAAAAAAAGAGUUUUUGCUAAAUAACUUGUUUUACUGGAGGUUUGUGCUGUAAUUUUGUGUGUAGGUAGUUUAUGUGCAGCGCUUGCUAAGUUAAUUUAAGUAAAUAUAUUGAAAAAAGUUGUUUCUCUGCGUUGUGAUUUAUUUUUGUUUAAAUUUAUUAAUUUUCAGCUGUUAGUUUAUCUAUUCUAUAUAACUUAUCAAGCUAUCAACUUCAAAUUUAUCUUAUUUGCAAUUAAUACACCUUUGAGAAAAUCUUUUACUUUCAAAGCUGUAGAAUAGUCAAUCACAUUUUUUUUGGAGUGCUCUUGUUCACUCUUGCUCAGAAGUUUGGUGGGAAAAAUACACAAUGUGUGUAUGAUGGUAGAUUAAUGAUAGUUUGUCUUUAUUUGUCAUGGAUAUUUAUGUAAGUACUUGUUAGCUAAGAGUGUACUUGCAUUUACACUUGACAAGAAGAUAAAAAUAUUGCAAUUUUUCUUAUAUAUUUUCAUGUCAUUGAAAAAUAUGUGUUUUAUAAUUUACAAUCAAAUUUUAUUUUAUGAAGAAAGCUGUAUAUUCAACAGAAAACAUAUAAAA